rnacentral:rRNA from 1 species
AGUGAACGCUGGCGGUAGGCCUAACACAUGCAAGUCGAACGGCAGCACAGUAAGAGCUUGCUCUUACGGGUGGCGAGUGGCGGACGGGUGAGGAAUACAUCGGAAUCUACUUUUUCGUGGGGGAUAACGUAGGGAAACUUACGCUAAUACCGCAUACGACCUACGGGUGAAAGCAGGGGAUCUUCGGACCUUGCGCGAUUGAAUGAGCCGAUGUCGGAUUAGCUAGUUGGCGGGGUAAAGGCCCACCAAGGCGACGAUCCGUAGCUGGUCUGAGAGGAUGAUCAGCCACACUGGAACUGAGACACGGUCCAGACUCCUACGGGAGGCAGCAGUGGGGAAUAUUGGACAAUGGGCGCAAGCCUGAUCCAGCCAUACCGCGUGGGAGAAGAAGGCCUUCGGGUUGUAAAGCCCUUUUGUUGGGAAAGAAAAGCAGCAGGUUAAUACCCCGCUGUUCUGACGGUACCCAAAGAAUAAGCACCGGCUAACUUC